UCUCUGAGCUUUAGUCUGUACAUCACUUAUCCUCUAUUAGGGUUGUUCUGUUCAUUUAAGUAAAUGACUUAUGCUAACUUAUUGGUCAUAUUCAGAUAAGCCAUAGGUUCUGUGUAAGCUUUAGUCUGUACAUCACUUAUCCUGUAUUAGGGUUGCUCUGUUCAUUUAAGUAAAUGACUUAUGCUAACUUAUUGGUCAUAUUCAGAUAAGCCAUAGGUUCUGUGUAAGCUUUAGUCUGUACAUCACUUAUCCUGUAUUAGGGUUGCUCUGUUCAUUUAAGUAAAUGACUUAUGCUAACUUAUUGGUCAUAUUCAGAUAAGCCAUAGGUUCUGUGUAAUUAUAGCCGUUAUAUGCCCUUACAUAUACUGAAGAUAUUUUUUUU